rnacentral:rRNA from 1 species
GACGAACGCUGGCGGCGUGCUUAACACAUGCAAGUCGAACGGAAAGGCCCUGCUUUUGUGGGGUGCUCGAGUGGCGAACGGGUGAGUAACACGUGAGUAACCUGCCCUUGACUUUGGGAUAACUUCAGGAAACUGGGGCUAAUACCGGAUAGGAGCUCCUGCUGCAUGGUGGGGGUUGGAAAGUUUCGGCGGUUGGGGAUGGACUCGCGGCUUAUCAGCUUGUUGGUGGGGUAGUGGCUUACCAAGGCUUUGACGGGUAGCCGGCCUGAGAGGGUGACCGGCCACAUUGGGACGGAGAUACGGCCCAGACUCCUACGGGAGGCAGCAGUGGGGAAUAUUGCACAAUGGGCGGAAGCCGGAUGCAGCAACGCCGCGUGCGGGAGGACGGCCUUCGGGUGGUAAACCGCUUUCGCCUGUGACGAAGCGUGAGUGACGGUAAUGGGUAAAGAAGCACCGGCUAACUACGG